rnacentral:rRNA from 1 species
UUCCAUGCUUCCAAGAAGAGCAUCUAGAGAGAGAAGUAGUGCCCGUACCGCAAACCGACACAGGUAGAUGAGGAGAGAAUCCUAAGGCCGGCGGAAGAAUUGCAGUUAAGGAACUAGGCAAAUUGACCCCGUAAGUUAGCGAGAAGGGGUGCCUGCGAGAGCAGGCCGCAGAGAAUAGGCCCAAGCAACUGUUUAGCAAAAACACAGGUCUCUGCUAAAGCGCAAGCUGAUGUAUAGGGGCUGACGCCUGCCCGGUGCUGGAAGGUUAAGGGGAACACUUAGCGCAAGCGAAGGUAUGAACUUAAGCCCCAGUAAACGGCGGCCGUAACUAUAACGGUCCUAAGGUAGCGAAGUUCCUUGUCAGGUAAGUUCUGACCCGCACGAAUGGCGUAAUGACUUGGGUACUGUCUCAACUGCAAAUCCGGCGAAGUUGUAGUGCGAGUGAAGAUGCUCGCUACCCGCGAUUGGACGGAAAGACCCCGUAGAGCUUUACUGUAGCUUAGCAUUGAAUUCCGGUAUUGUCUGUACAGGAUAGGUGGGAGACUGGGAAACUAGGGCGUCAGCCUUAGUGGAGUCGUCCUUGGGAUACCACCCUGACAGUACUGGGGUUCGAACAGGACGCCAUGAAUCUGGUGACUGGACAUUGUUAGGUGGGCAGUUUGACUGGGGCGGUCGCCUCCUAAAAAGUAACGGAGGCGCCCAAAGGUUCCCUCAGAACGGUCGAAAAUCGUUCGUAGAGUGCAAAGGCAGAAGGGAGCCUGACUGCGAGACCUACAAGUCGAGCAGGGACGAAAGUCGGGCUUAGUGAUCCGGUGGUACCUCGUGGGAGGGCCAUCGCUCAACGGAUAAAAGCUACCUCGGGGAUAACAGGCUGAUCUCCCCCAAGAGUCCACAUCGACGGGGAGGUUUGGCACCUCGAUGUCGGCUCGUCGCAUCCUGGGGCUGUAGUAGGUCCCAAGGGUUGGGCUGUUCGCCCAUUAAAGCGGCACGCGAGCUGGGUUCAGAACGUCGUGAGACAGUUCGGUCCCUAUCCGUCGCGGGCGUAGGAAAUUUGAGAGGAGCUGUCCUUAGUACGAGAGGACCGGGAUGGACUGACCUCUGGUGCACCAGUUGUUCUGCCAAGAGCAUGGCUGGGUAGCUAAGUCGGGAAGGGAUAAACGCUGAAAGCAUCUAAGCGUGAAGCCUCCCUCAAGAUGAGAUUUCCCAUAGCAUAAGCUAGUAAGACCCCUUGAAGAACACGAGGUUGAUAGGUCAGAGGUGUAAGUGUGGUAACAUAUUUAGCUGACUGAUACUAAUAGGUCGAGGGCUUGACC